GACGAACGCUGGCGGCGUGCUUAACACAUGCAAGUCGAACGGACAGGCCCUGCUUUUGUGGGGUGCUCGAGUGGCGAACGGGUGAGUAACACGUGAGUAACCUGCCCUUGACUUUGGGAUAACUUCAGGAAACUGGGGCUAAUACCGGAUAGGAGCUCCUGCUGCAUGGGGGGGGUUGGAAAGUUUCGGCGGUUGGGGAUGGAAUCGCGGCUUACCAGCUUGUUGGUGGGGUAGUGGCUUACCAAGGCUUUGACGGGUAGGCGGCCUGGGCGGGUGGCCGGCGACAUUGGGACUGAGAUACGGCCCAGACUCCUACGGGAGGCAGCAGUGGGGAAUAUUGCACAAUGGGCGGAAGCCUGAUGCAGCAACGCCGCGUGCGGGAUGACGGCCUUCGGGUUGUAAACCGCUUUCGCCUGUGACGAAGCGUGAGUGACGGUAAUGGGUAAAGAAGCACCGGCUAACUACGUG
rnacentral:rRNA from 1 species